GGAGAACGGAAUCAGACAGUGGCCUAAAAAAGGGUGGAAAUGCUAACCUGGUAUUUAUGCUUAAAAGAAACAGUGAGCAGGUUGUCGAGAGCGUCGUUCAUCUCCAUGGGCUCCUCAGCACUCUGCAGGUGCGCACCUUCAUCUUCCAUCCCUGCAUUUAUUUGUCUAGAGAACAGCAGCUUGGAGCUGUUGUUGACUUGGAUCUUUGAGGUUUGCUGGCUGUUCAUGGGUAAAUGGGGCCCUCAAUUUGGGGAAGACUGGCUCUCGUGGUGAGAAAGUUACAGAAUGCAUCAACCUUCCAGGACUAGAAUUAGUGAAGAGCUGGUGUGCUGUAGGCAUGGCUUGAUAACCAUGCUACAAAUCACAUAGCGUGCUAACAUGCAUUUGGGAGAUUACUUCACUUUAGAAAGCCUUAAG
rnacentral:sRNA from 1 species